CAGAGGGUGCAAGCGUUAAUCGAAUUACUGGCGUAAAGCGCGCGUAGGUGGUUUGUUAAGUUGGAUGUGAAAGCCCCGGGCUCAACCUGGGAACUGCAUUCAAAACUGACAAGCUAGAGUAUGGUAGAGGUGGUGGAAUUUCCUGUGUAGCGGUGAAAUGCGUAGAUAUAGGAAGGAACACCAGUGGCGAAGGCGACCACCUGGACUGAUACUGACACUGGGGUGCGAAAGCGUGGGAGCAAACAGGAUUAGAUACCCUGGUAGUCCACGCCGUAAACGAUGUCAACUAGCCGUUGGGAGCCUUGAGCUCUUAGUGGCGCAGCUAACGCAUUAAGUUGACCGCCUGGGGAGUACGGCCGCAAGGUUA
rnacentral:rRNA from 1 species